rnacentral:rRNA from 1 species
AUUGAACGCUGGCGGCAUGCCUUACACAUGCAAGUCGAACGGUAACAGGUCUUCGGAUGCUGGCGAGUGGCGAACGGGUGAGUAAUACAUCGGAACGUGCCUAGUAGUGGGGGAUAACUACUCGAAAGAGUGGCUAAUACCGCAUGAGAUCUACGGAUGAAAGCAGGGGAUCGCAAGACCUUGUGCUACUAGAGCGGCCGAUGGCAGAUUAGGUAGUUGGUGGGAUAAAAGCUUACCAAGCCGACGAUCUGUAGCUGGUCUGAGAGGACGAUCAGCCACACUGGGACUGGGACACGGCCCAGACUCCUACGGGAGGCAGCAGUGGGGAAUUUUGGACAAUGGGCGCAAGCCUGAUCCAGCAAUGCCGCGUGCAGGAUGAGGGCCUUCGGGUUGUAAACUGCUUUUGUACGGAACGAAAAGCCCUGGGUUAAUACCCUGGGGUCAUGACGGUACCGUAAGAAUAAGCACCGGCUAACUACGUGCCAGCAGCCGCCGUAAUAC